rnacentral:rRNA from 1 species
GCAAGUCGAACGGCAGCACGGGAGCCAUCCUGGUGGCGAGUGGCGAACGGGUGAGUAAUCUAUCGGAACGUGCCCAGCCGUGGGGGAUAACGCAGCGAAAGCUGUGCUAAUACCGCAUACGAUCUCUGGAUGAAAGCGGGGGACUCGCAAGGGCCUCGCGCGAUUGGAGAGGCCGAGAUCAGAUUAGCUAGUUGGUGGGGUAAAAGCCCACCAAGGCGACGAUCUGUAGCUGGUCUGAGAGGAUGACC